rnacentral:rRNA from 1 species
UACGUAGGGUGCAAGCGUUAAUCGGAAUUACUGGGCGUAAAGCGUGCGCAGGCGGUUCGUUAUGUCCGAUGUGAAAGCCCCGAGCUCAACUUGGGAAUGGCAUUGGAAACUGGCGGGCUGGAGUGUGGCAGAGGGGGGUGGAAUUCCACGUGUAGCAGUGAAAUGCGUAGAGAUGUGGAGGAACACCGAUGGCGAAGGCAGCCCCCUGGGCCAACACUGACGCUCAGGCACGAAAGCGUGGGGAGCAAACAGG